rnacentral:rRNA from 1 species
UACGGAGGGGGCUAGCGUUGUUCGGAAUUACUGGGCGUAAAGCGCACGUAGGUGGCUUUGUAAGUUAGAGGUGAAAGCCCAGGGCUUAACCCUGGAAUUGCCUUUAAGACUGCAUCGCUCGAAUUGUGGAGAGGUGAGUGGAAUUCCGAGUGUAGAGGUGAAAUUCGUAGAUAUUCGGAAGAACACCAGUGGCGAAGGCGACUCACUGGACACAUAUUGACGCUGAGGUGCGAAAGCGUGGGGAGCAAACAGG